UUUGUGUCGUUGGACGUGCGUGCGUGCGUGCGUGACGUAGUCAAGCUUGUGUGUCUGUCACAGAGCGAAAGAGGCUUGCGUCGUAUUAAAUUCUCCUCUGAAGUUUAUCUGGCUGAUCUUCUAUCUGGACCUGAGAGAUGAAGAAGGCACAAUCGCUCCUUUUCCAAGCGUUGACCGUGCUUGGCAUUUGGGCUUCGCUUGGUGAGUUCACGUUUUUAUUUGACUUCAAGGUUCACUGCAAACGUUGUUGGGACUGGAUUUGUUUCUUCAGAUCAUUAGGGGAUCAAUAUAAAAGGGCAUUUUAUUGGCCCCACCUCGGGGAAAUGUAUACUUGUCAGAUUACUAGACAUAUUAAGCAAACUGUCAGUCUCAUUUGAAACAAUGGAAACAAUACAUAAUACAUCCGCGGUUUUGAGACACUUUCUGAUCCGACUGUGAACUUUUGAAAAAAGGGUGUAGUAAAGCCUAUUUAAAACUAACGACUGACUUUAAGCAUUGAUAUACCACUCAUUUAACUCACUGACCGCCACUGACUGAAAACCUGAAACAUUCACUUCGGUUUGCCUUGGAAGGCUGCAAAUGGAUUGGACGUCUAGCACCGUCAUUGGCACAGAAACGUGAGAAUCCAUAGCCAGUCCUCCCAGUUAAGAAUAAGCGCACUUCUGUUGUUGUCAGUAGUAAGCUAAACGAACCAAAAUUAUACAUUAAUACAAAUGUAUAUAUAUAACUAUUUUAAAACUAUUAAAAUUAUUAUGAAUUAAAAAAAAAUAACACUAAAUAUUACUAUUAAAUUGUAUAAUAAUAAUUUUAAUUUAAUAAUAAUAAAUUUAAUAAAUUCAUAAUAAUUUAUUUUUUAAUUUAAUUUUAUAGUAUUAUAUAAUACUAUAUUAUUAGUAGUAGUAGUAUUACUAAAUAUAAUAACACUAAAUAUAUAAUACUAAGUAUUGACUAAUGGCAGUUAAAUACUCUUGUAGUUUAGUUUUGGUUAGUUUUAGUUUUAUACUAAAGGGUCAUAGUAUUUACCUAUGAUAUAAAUAAAUAUCUACUUUUUUUAAUUCCAUUAUAAUCUUAAUGAUUUUUUAAUCAAUAAAUUAUCAAUAAACCCAAUAGAUUUGUAUUAAUGUAUAAUUGUAUUUUUUCAUAUAUAAAUAAAAUUAACAUUAAAAAAUAAAAAAUAAAUACAUAUAUGUUACAGUUCUACAUGGACUGAGGUUUUCAAUGCAACGCUUCACAUUCCAGGUGUUUUGUUUCACAUUGCGAGAUGGAUAAUUUUGUAUGUGGUGCUUGUGUGUGUGUUUUGUCAUAAUGUAUCAAACGUAGGAAGAGAAUGUCCAAAAGACAUGUGCUUCAACACAACAGAAAACUUAGCUCCAAAACCAUUGUCUGUGAUCUCAAUUGAUCUGGAUCAUGAAUACAUAUAGGUUGAGGUGCUGGAGGGGGAGGGAUAAUUGAACUUUUAAUGACCGAAGGGAAAACAAACAACAACAAAAAACCUGCAGUUGAACACAAUCUUGAUGACUUUUACAAUUGUUGUUACAAUAUGAUUAACACCCCCCACCAACACAAACCUAUAUAAAGACAAACCGAACACUUUAAAAUGCAACUUUUUUUCACCUCGACCUAUAACCUUACUCACCUUGUCUUCACUGAUGCAAAAGCAUCUAUUGCACUUUCAUAUGACAGUUGUUUUGGAAGGGCACUUCUUUCCUGGACUUGGUGGGCUUGGACUUGGUGCUGAUGUGGAUAAGUUCGCUGUAAAAUGACACAUUUCAAAGACAACCCUAUGCUGAGAGCUACAAACUCUUUUGUGAACAAGUGAUCCGUCAAAGGAUUAUCGUUGACAAAGAAGUGCUCAGAAUGGACAAGCCAAGAAGGUUGUUCGUGAACAUCGUGAAGAACCAUGAGGAUCUUGAUGCUUCAGACUACAGGCGGGAUAUGCUGAAAAGAAGAUUGAAGUACUUUAUCAUCAACAGACAAACUUUUAGACAGGAUACCUCAGUCAUCAGGUACAUCAGCUACCGACUCUACUGAGGUAAGACAAGAAAGUGACACUGAACAAAUGGCUAGCACACCAUCUGGUUGGAAAUCCACAGAACAAAGAAGGACACUUUACAGUGCAGGGCUGCUAUUGAGGACCAUUCUAAGCGAAUCACCCUCACUGAAAUGCCCAUGGCCUCCCACAGCAGAAGAUUUAAAUGUAUGUGAAGCGAAAGCUGUUGUGCCUGUUGAACAGUACAAUCGAUUGGUGCAACAGAAGAACCAACACUAGCCGGCAAAAGGGCAAACUACGAGGCAGCAGUAAUGCGACAUUGUCUGACUGGUAUGAUGUGUGCCCCUUCACCAAUUGGCAAUGGAUGGGACAUUGAGGAUGGUGAAUUAACAGUAAAAUGGAUGACUAGAAAUCCUGCCCCAGAUAGUGUGCUACAGGUAAUCCACUGUGGUUGCAAGAUAAGCAAGUGUGAGACUGAAAGAUGUUCAUGCUUGUCUGCAAAAAUGUCCUGUACAGAUUUAUGCCACUGCCAGGACUGUGAAAAUAUUUCAAAGGAAAUGGGAUGAUGACACUGAUGAUACUGAUAUUGAUGAGUAAUCACCCACCAUCUCUCCUAUGUUUAGUUUCAUUAUCAAAAUGUUACUCUCCAUUUUAACACCUUUAAAACAACAACAAAAAAAGGCUCUUUUCCCUUUUCCAAAAAAAUAGACCUUUGUUCAAUUUGACUGCCAAAAAAGAUGGAUGUUCCAAUGAA